GCGCCAGACUCCUACGGGAGGCAGCAGUGAGGAAUAUUGGUCAAUGGGCUUACGCCUGAACCAGCCAAGUCGCGUGAGGGAAGACUGCCCUAUGGGUUGUAAACCUCUUUUGUCAGGGAGCAACGCCGGCUACGUGUAGCCGGACUGAGAGUACCCGAAGAAAAAGCAUCGGCUAACUCCGUGCCAGCAGCCGCGGUAAUACGGAGGAUGCGAGCGUUAUCCGGAUUUAUUGGGUUUAAAGGGUGCGCAGGCGGAAUGUCAAGCCAGCGGUAAAAUUUCGGGGCUCAACCCCGGCCUGCCGUUGAAACUGGCGGCCUCGAGUGGGCGAGAAGUAUGCGGAAUGCGUGGUGUAGCGGUGAAAUGCACAGAUAUCACGCAGAACUCCGAUUGCGAAGGCAGCAUACCGGCGCCCUACUGACGCUGAGGCACGAAAGCGUGGGUAUCGAACAGGAUUAGAUACCCCGGUACAC
rnacentral:rRNA from 1 species